UCCAUUGUGCGAGAGAGUUUGAGUGUUGUUGGGAGAGGUCGAGGCAGGGGAUGGUGAUGGUGGUCCAUAGGUUUUUCCAACGUUUGGAGAGAAGACUUGUGGCGACGGCAUCUUUUAGCUGCGUCAAUGAAAGAAUUUCAAGGAUUAACGAGUCUGGGUUGUUUCUCGUAGUGGAACUCUUCUAAAUAGUGCAGAUUAGGGCAAUUAUUCUUUCACUCCUCUCUCUCCAGCGCCGAUCUCCCUCCCUCGAUAUCCCCAAUUCUCUCGCGCCACCGCCACCGAGAUCCUCCCCGCCCUGCCGAUCUCUCUAUUUCUAAGAAAUGUCUCAAGAAGCAUCUACAGGAAGCACAACUUCACCUUCUGAUGACUCUUCGCCACAGUGUGUCCUGGAGAUGUUCCGCAUGGUAUUGUUACCUGAUAAUAAUCAUAAUAUAGAAGAGGAAGAUACAGCAGAUUCUUCUUUUGAUUGGAGUGAAUGGGAUGAAGAUGAUUUUUACACUUUACCGUGUAUGGAGGAUGAACUUGGCCGUAAAAUGAUAAAGCCCAAGGGUGAAAAGUUGGUUCCUUCCUCCGAUGUAUCCGACAUAUGUAAUGAUGCUUUCAAGAAGAUAGUUGACCCGAUAGGCCAUAAAGAUCUUUAUGAUGAAUACAUGAACAUUUAUUGGGAAGAGUUUAAGAAAUGAGUUAAUACGGAGGGUUAUGAUCAAGACCUUUACAAGAAAGCUUUUAUUAAAAAAUGUAAAGUUAAGUACCGUGACUACAUCAACAAAUUGAAGAAACGGGGGAAGAAGAAACCGGACUACUUCACGGAUGCCUUGUGGAAGGCUUAUACUGACGCUUGGAAGACGUAUAACGAUGCCUUGUGGAAGACUUACAAUGACGCUAGCAAGACGCAUGAUCCAACUUGUGAGAGAAUAACGGGAAGCGCUCUUAUUGUUUGAAGGACGACGUUAUGGCAAGGGUUGAAGAACUGCGAACUCAAGGGAUUUAGAAUCCAAAUCAUUAUGCUAUUUACAUGGAACUUUAUGGGAAGGCGAAGAAGAGAAUUAAGAUUUCUAGCACUGGACAGGCAAAGAGCACACACUCCUCAUCUGCCACCACCUCGUCCGCAUCUGUGGGCACAACCAACAUCGAGCGUAUCAAGAUUGGUGAGCUCUACGAGCAACAAGCACGAGAAGCUCGAUAGCAGGUGUCAAACGAGAUGAAACUCAAGUUACAGGAGGAAUUUGAAAAAUUGCUGGCGGAGUAUGAUAAGCAAAGAGCAGCGUUGGUGUAGGAAAUGAAGAUUCUAAUGGAACUAGGGGUGAGUCGAUACGAGAUAUCGUAUCGAAAACGUUGUAUCGUAUAUCGUAUCGAAAAUAUCGACAUGAAAGAAUUUCAUAUCGUUAU